GACGUAGGGUCCAAGCGUUGUCCGGAUUUACUGGGCGUAAAGAGCGCGUAGGCGGUCUGUUAAGUGUGAAGUGAAAUCUCCAGGGCUCAACCCGGAAACUGCUUUACAUACUGGCAGACUGGAGUGAUGAAGAGGUUUGUGGAAUUCCUGGUGUAACGGUGAAAUGUGUUGAUAUCAGGAGGAACACCCAUGGCGAAGGCAGCAAACUGGUCAUCAACUGACGCUGAGGCGCGAAAAGCGUGGGUAGCAAACGAGGACAUUGAUAAAG
rnacentral:rRNA from 1 species